CUUUUACCUGUGCCUCGUAAAUGCAUUGUCCUUUCUGAGAAGGUAAAUCUGGAGAUGUAAGAGCCUUAUGGCUGGAAAGGCAGAUCUUUGCUGGAUUGAGCAGUGGGGCGUCAGACCAUCCUUACAGCCAACUCUGGCAUAGCCUUGGCUCUUGCCUUGUGCUGCUGCUGUCCGUGGGACUGGCUGUGCUUGCAGCCAUCAGUCCCCGCUGUAGGGUUGUGGUGCUGCACCCAGGUGCAGCUGCGCUGGCUCUGGCAUCCGGCUGGACAGGAUACCUCUGCAGAGAAGCCAAAGAAAGAGCUACCCUGGAGGCUGCUGUCCACCUCCUCCCGUGCCACCAUCCUGCUCUGCGGUUCCUCGCUGUGGCUGAGCACGAUGGCUGCAGCGAAGAAAGUACUCAAAGUUCAUUGGCAAAGCAGCAUGCAGCCAGCUACUCACCUGGACCAGACCGAGCAUGUGUUUAAUCAUCUUUUUAACUGAUUAAUAUACUUUAAGAGUGACUGAGAGGCAGUGAGAGCAGCCCAAUGUUAGAUUUAAAGUUCACUAGGAAAAAAAAAUCAUUCAAGGAUUUCACAAGCAAUGACACUUGGAUGGUAUUUGGGAAAUCUUUUUCUUUCAAGACUAUCUUGCGAUUAACUAUGGGAGCAGUACAUCAAAGCUGCACUGACUUCAAAGCUCAGAACCUCUUACGGCUUCCAGCUAUUACUAAAACCUACCACUUCACCCUGCCAGCAGCUCAUCUCAGCUGCCUCUGCAAGUUACACCCAUCUACUUCCUGCCUCCUGGUUUUGGGGAGGGAAAAAAAAGAAAAAAAAGAAAAAAAAAAGAACUUGUAAAUUAAAUAUAGCUGUUCACAGUGAAGCAAUGUCAAAGUCAGGGGAAAAAAGCAAAUGGAGGCAUUAAGAUGUUAAAGAUCUAGUACAAACUCAGCAGUGAUUUGCAUAUGCACAGUCUCAUUUGGCCAGCUCUAAUGAAGCUGUCUGUGUGGAGGAAGUUUCCUGACCGUGUUGCAACCCCCCAUAAAAGCCCCCAAGUGAAGUGAGCAAGCUGUGUAGGCCAUUAUUUAGAUCCAGAUGUUAGCUAUCAAACCGGGAGCCCUGUACAGGAGGCUUGACGGAUGGACAAAGUCUGCACUGUUGGUAGCUUGGCACAGGCAGAGCUGCCUUGGGACACCAGUACCAUCAUCACUUCAGCAUCGCGUAUCUCGAGGUUGGCUCUCAUCUAUGCUCUGUAGCGUCCUCUGAUUUGCAAAGGGGCAUACGUUCACACACAUCCGCACACUACACCUGAAGCAGUCUGUAGGUACUGGGCAAUUGCCACAAAAUUAUCAAUUCUCCUGCAUUAUCAGGGGAGAUUGUGGAAGUAAAGUUUGUGUAUUUGAUAUUUUUGGAGUCCGUGAAAGAACUCAUUUGUAAUAGUGUGGGACUACGUUACAUUCUCUGAACUGAUAAAAGAAGCCUAAAUUGUACUGAAAUUGUAAUUUAUUCUAGUAUUAAUAUUAUUCAACACUUAAAAUUGUUACAUUGUUAUUUUCUGAUUGGGAGUUUUAUGCCUACGGUUUUUAAAAUGGUACAUUAAUCUCUGAAUAAAAUUUGUCUUGCAAAUGACAUAUUAAUAGAAAGUUAGGAACAAGCGCGAGUCUUUGAGUGUGUUUUAUAUAACAGUUUAUACGUUCGGUGCAGAUCAAUGACAUGCUCUCUAGAGCUAAAUGCCAUUAAUCCAUUUACAGCCGCUCAUUGCAAUGAAGAGAAAUUACCGGUGAAAGAGCUGACGAUCCCUCUGCUUCCCUGCCUAGCCUCACGUUUUGGAAACACCCCCACUGUCUUUGCAAGGGUUUCGAGUCAUCCCCUUUGUCCUGCUGCUGCUGGCAAAGAGGCCUUCAGCCAUCGCCAUCAGGCCUACAGGGCACCAUAGGCCCCCAGGGCCUGUGGAGGAGCCGCCAUGUGGUGCCAGCCGUGGGCUGCGGGUCACGGGAGGUGCAGGGAAGGGAGACAGGGCUCUGGCAGCCUGGGGGGGAAGGAUUGCUGUCCCCCCCACGUUACGGAGCUGUACGAGGCAGCAGGGACUCGCUGCUAAACCUGACAGAGGCAUGGCGAGCGUGUGUUCUGUCUGAAGGGCAGGCCACUGCUGUAGAAGUGCGAAGGCAGGAGGAGGCAAUCAUAAUGCCGUACUAUUUGAAGUAGAUUGUUACGAUAGAGCCAGGUGUGAUUCCAUGAGUCGUGAUUUUGUGUAUUUCACUGUGUGAUAGAUCAUUCUUCUUCCUCAAGAAUGCCUUUCCCUCAAAUAUGCUGUAGAGUAGGAACAGCACAGUUAUUUGAAGUUCAUUGAAAAUAUAGGAGGACAUCAUGUUUCCUGUCCGUAUGUUAAACUUGGCAUAUUGAUUUUUUCUGCACAGCUUGCAGCAUGGAAAUGUGAUCUACAGCUAUGGCAAGGCAAGCUAACCACAUGUGAAUUUGUUAAGUACUGCUGGAUUAGCAGGAAUCAUCGGACUGUGCAAGCACAGAGACUUGACUUCUGUAACUCUGCAUUUAUGACUAAAUCAAUUAAAAUAACAAGUUUUGAUUUUAUUGUCUGUAAACGAGUAAGCACGAAUCAUCUGCAGAAGCUAUUGUUUCACAUGCCUGCUUGUUUUCACAGCGUAAACUCCCCAUAACUUGGCUACAGUACCUGAACAGGCAGAGCUGCCGCUGAAGUUGGGGAACAAAUAUGUAAAGAUUCAACAAAUAUAGUUGGCCACUGUCUUUUAUGUUAGUGCAUAAAAUUCAGAAGAGCAUGCUGCAUUUUUAACUUGCAGAUUUUUUUAUCUAAAUUUGCCAUUAUUUUUCUGUGUAUAUUCUUUGCCUGGUUAAUCUUUUUUUCCCUUUAUGUUCAAAGAUACUGAGAUUAUGGAAGCUACCGGCACUGCAGUCUGCAUUUAAAUGUAGUUACAGUGUAGCUGUGCAGAAAGCACUCUUCUGAUGUGAGGCUGGUUUGCUCUUCUCUCUACAUUAUUAAACCUCCUUAAACUCCUCCAUUAUACCAUUCACCUUGCUUGACUUCAAAGAGUACAGCGGCUGCGUCGCGUGGCUGAGCCGUAACUCUGCCGAGCGCAUUACCUGUGGCUUCUCAGAAAUGCUAAUGCAUUAUCUACCGUGUUUAUGAAGUUUUCUGUUUGGUGUUGGAUUUGGAAAACCACUCUCCAUCUCUAAAAUCAAAACAUUAAAACGUCCAAGACAAAGAAAGUGAUCGAGGGUAUUUAGGGAUUUGAAAUUAUUGCUUUUCACCUUCAAAAAACAGUUUCCAUCAAAAUAAAAAUGUAAACCAAACGGUUAAUUUCAGGGGAAAGCAAAGCUGGCGCUACCCCCAAAUAAUCUCCUGAGUGCAGUCUCACCGAGUCACCUACAAAAACAGUGUGCACUAAUGCCUGGCUUAUCGCUUGGAGUUUACUGGGAACUAAUCUGUUCAAAAUGUUUGGAAUAAGCUAAAACCUGGCUUGCUCAUCUAAUGAAAAAGGUCAAAGCAGAGAAGAAAGUGCCACUGGUUUGUGUUAGGUGACACUGUGCCCUGCUUGUCUAAUUUGAUUACACAGAGCCACUGAAGCCCCAGGCAAAGCUGAUUUUAGCUAUAAUCAGCUUCUUAACCUUUUGAGAACUAACGUAAACACUACCUACCAGUGGUUAAUUAUGUUGCUCUGUUACACACAACAAAGUGCAAAGGUAAAAGUGUAGAACUACAGUAACACAUGUUGUGACAAGAUUACUCACAGGGAUUACAGCCUUCUGUGUUUUAUCUGCACUUAUUGAUUUCUUUCUUAAAAAUUAAAAACGGGUUAUGAGCAGGGAGCAUCAGUUUAUCACUCUUAAGCAGUAUUGCCCUGUCAUGCUGUUGUCUCACCUUCAAUUCCUCCUGCGUGUGGAAGGAGAGACCUAGUACGGGCUGGGCUGGUGUGGAGGUGGAUUUGUUAAUUUUUGUUUAUUUCAGAUUAACGUUGUUUUAAUUGUUUGUCUGUACUAAAUCAUACAUGUUCUCUUCCUCUAUGACGAACAUCUUCCAGAAAGUUUUGGAAGCUCUUUUGGCAGAUACUUGAUGUCUGUGUGAGACAUCUGUCUCUAGGUGGGAUAAAUGGGAUGAACUUUUCUUUCUUAUUUUGCAUAUAGUUAUUAGCCAAGAACCGAAGAGCUGAGGUCCAAAAACUGACUCUCUGCAGAGCCCGUAUAUCCUAGUUUCCCAUGUUGUUUGCUUCAUACACUACCUAUAUUUUGCCAGGAAAUUUGCAUCUCCAUAUACUUCUAGACUUCUAGGAGACUUGUAAGCCAACAGACUUGCAGUGAUUUUUAAAUUUUCCUGACCUGUGCUGAUCCCUGAUGUUUAUGUGAGGAAGCAUUGAUCUGUUCACCUUCCUUAUGUGCUUGCUGCUCUUACAGACUUUCUUCGUGGAGGUAACAGGCUGUGUCUUUCUGAACUUUGCGGUCCACGGGAGUGGAGUUAAUUUGCUCUCUCUGUGUCCCACUACUCACCAACGCUCUUCUCUGAUAGUCUCCACCCGUAAUGAAUUAUGGUUGUGAGCAGGAUCAUCAGUAUGGGUGUUGCAGGGGCAGCCUGGUGCUGCAGAGCUGAACCACCAGGAUCGAUGUGCAGCUCUUGGGAGCUUCACAGCCCUUCUGCCCGCAUGCUUCCCACCAGCUUUCAGAGUGGAGUGCUGUGACAGCAGAUAGAUUAGCUGGGGUGUGGUUGUGCUGGGGAAAUAGAUGAGCCCUUGCUUCAUUCAGGUGCUUAUUUUAUUAACUAAGAAAGAUUAAUAAAGCCAUAAGGACCAGAGUUAGCAAGGCAAUAAUGCUAAACAAAACACUAUUUACAUAAGAACAACAAUAAAUGAUAACACAACACAUGCACACACAUAAAUCUCGCUGACACAUGGUCCUUGUGGUUAGGUACAAGGUCAGAGUUGGUUUCCUUUUCUUGCAGUCAAUAGCUAAAUAUGUGUUUACAGUACACAUAUUUGUCUCUGGCAAGGUUAUAGUGUGUUGGGACAAGACAAUGCAGACUUCUAGCUUUUGAGUUUUGGAGAGAUGGCAGAUUCACUUAGCUGUGUGCUGCAGUGCCAGCAUGGUGGUGAAUGGAUCCUCAGGACAAGAAAUAGAUCCUCGUGUUAGGGACUCGGUCUUCAUCUCAGGCUCCAAGAUUUUCUACAGAAAAGGCAUAUGCUUAAGAAAACUGAGUCUGAAUGUCACCCCUUUCGGUUUCUUGCAGAUUUCAGCAUUUAACUGUAGGGGUUUUCUCCUGUUCUGGUGGCCCUUUAAUAUCUACCAUCUAUCAUGCAAUAACUUCUGACUGUGCCCUGAUUUUAUUUCCAGCAGGUGAGGUAUGGAGGGUGGUUCUGCUGGCAUAAAGGUGACCUCAUCUACUGGUUGCAAAUAAUGUUUUCGUAGGUUUCAUGCAGAGUGCAUUUUCCCCGUAUAGCUGUCACGCAACUCUUUUCUGACAUACUCUAAUCAUUCCAGGCUCUUUGCUUUUAUUUAUAAUAAUAAUUAAAAAAAAAAAGUAUUGGCUGUAUAUAUCACUAUGGCAUUAUUCGCAUUUCCUGAGCUGGUAGAAAGCUUCAUCUCUAGCAUAAUGGCAUGCCAUUAUUCUGAAGCAAUGGGAUGUUUUUCGAUGUCUUUUCCUCCACAAAAAAAAAGAAGCAGUAUCAGAUUCUCUCUUCUGAUCCAGCUGUCAGAGCUGGGUGGAAAAGACUGCUGAGACAGGUCUGCAAAAUCCAUCACUCUCCACAUUUAGGACUAGCUGUCCUCGUGCCUUCCUAUUUCCUCAACUCGUUCCAGUUACAGGGAGGCUUUAUGCAAAGUUUCUGCCACGUGAGUACCUGCGCUGCUCCGCAAUUGCUGUCCAGGGACUCUUUCUGUUGGGCUAAUUGUGUAGACUAGUGCAAGGCAACGAAAAGCAAUAAAGCACAGGAGCUGGAGCAGCGUCUUUUUCCAGCAGAAAGAAACUUCAGGGCCCCUGCUCAGUAGUUAGCUUAGCUUCUGGAGCACAUGGCAGAAGAUACCAGAGUUUGCCUGCCUCUUAAUGAGUUAGGUAACUUUCUGGAUUGCUCACACAGGAAAUUAAAGACUUUGCUCCAUUGCUGGGUACUCGCAGAGGCAAGGGAGGCAGUGCUGCUGCCAGCGGCACUGCGGCACCAGCACUACCUCUGCCUUGACAUAGGAAGCAGCUGCUCUUCAGUCCCUCUUUGAGGGACAGCCUUUCUUCCUAUCAACUGCCACGAAACAUGAAAGUACAACUGCUCCUGACUGCUCCUACUGCGUGUCACACAGUACUGGGAUCACAGCGACAACAGAUUUUGAUCCAGAUCUAGCAGAAGUGGGACCCUGAAGAAGAGGAGUGUGGCUUGUACAGGGGUGAAUUUAUCAGAGGCUUCAGAGCAGAUCACAAGAGCUAGAGUCAAGCAAUAGUUCCCUUUCCCCCCAGAGAAUAAACCACUACCCUUUUCAGCAGCAGACAGAGAAUAAGUCAACAAAGACACGUUGCUGCAGAAAAGAUGAGCCUUUUCCUGAAAGGUCGUAGCUUACAGCUUGCCAACCAGGUGAGGCUUCAGCCAGGACGGGAAGCAGAGCUGAUGGAAGAGGAGUAGGAACUGGAGAGCCUCCAAAAGAAAGCCGCAAACAUGAUGAGAAGCCUAGAAAACAUGGCCUUCUGAAAAAGGUUGAACGACCUGAGAAGGCUUUGCCUAAAAAAAGAGGGUUGAAAGAAAGAACAUGGUGCAAAUCAUCAAGUGUGCGAAAGACUGCCGCGAAGAAGAGAGGAACAGUCUGUUCUCCGCACACUUGGUAAAUAGUACAAAAAGUGAUAAAACUGCAGCAGGGCAAUUUUAGGUUAGAGUUUAAGAGAAACUUUCUGAUGGUUUGGCUGGAGGAUACUGCAUACAGGCCUCUCUUACUGGAGGUGUGCAAGGGCAGGUCAAAUACACAGACGUUUGCCAGAAAUUGACAUAGGUGCAGAUGAUCUUGCCAUGGAUCAGGGCAUGGAGUGUAUGACCUAGAGACAUCUCUUUCAUGCUUGCUGGUCUAUGACUGUAUGAACAGGCAGAAAAAAAAAUAAAACCUCAAGGAAUGAAAAUUCAGAUUGCACUCUCAGGUUCAUCAUUUUUAAGCUGUUUCUGUAAUUUUGGAAGCACCCUUACUGUCUUUUUGAAGAUAUACUGAAGACUGUACUUAGCAUUCAGGUGAAGCUGCUUAAGUAAUGGCAAAUAGAAGUAUUUUUUUGGAUGUUUGCAAAAACAAUACAUGGAUGAGAGUUUUGAGCUUUGUUUUCUGGCAUGUGUGUUGGGUAAAAUUACCUGUUGGCUUUGGCAUGAUGUGGAGGGAGAAAUGACAGCUAUUGAUAACAGCUUCCUCCCCAGUUUGACAUCUCAGAGCAAAAAUAGGUCUGUUAGGAAGUGUUAACCAGGAGGAUACUACCCUCUGUUACUGGUUUUGAUGUCCAAAGCGUACACAGUCAGGGAGUAAAACAAAUAUAUGACUGCUUAGAGUGGCACUUGCAUACUGGGAAUAACAAAUAAGCCUUAGUAAAACAUUUAUGAACACUCCAUUUACAAAUUCAUUUAAUACAUACAUACAGCAAACAGAUUGAAAUCUGGAUGGCUUUCUGAAUUUACUAACCAGGAAAAAAAAAAAAAAAAGAUGCAUUUAUAGCUAAUGUUAUUUGUACUAAAUAAACAAACACUUUGUAUUGCAUAGUAAAAUGCAUAAGAGUAAACAGUGAACUCUUCCUUGUAUUCAUGCUAAUUCCAGAACAUCUUGGGGCAAGUGAAGUGCAAUGGAUUACAUUAAAAUAAAUUGUGCUGAUCGGUUUGCUUCUGAUCUUACAGCUUGCAAAUAAUUCUUUGCUGAGAACACUAGUACCUUUAGCAGCAAUUGUGUGGGCUCUGGCCAGCUUCAUUGCCAGUCUGUUCCCAGGAAAGAAAGGAGUGAAGCGUUCUUGCAUCUACUACUUUUUCUGAAGAAUCAAGGAAUGGUUUGGAAUAAUGAUCUGGCUGAAGAAAAAAAAAAAAAUACAGAUCCAAUCAAAACAGUCUCAGGAACCUUUUUUUUUCUUUUUUCCCAGAGGUCAGAUCCCCAAACUCCUGGGAGUUUGGACGGUGGGGAUGCUUUAAUAAAUGUGCAGUGAUAAAAGUGCCAGAUUGAAGGUUUCUGAAGUGCUACUGUCCAAAAUCACCAGCCAUGCUUGAAACUAGUAAUUCUUGACAGAACAAACACUCUCAGUAUGUGACUUUUAGCUGCAGGGGGCAGAGCAUAUGCUUCAGUGCCAAAAAGUGGUGGUUUUUUUUUUAAUUGUAUUUGUGUCAUAACCUCUUUUAUUACAGUUUUAAGUUCUUUUCCUAUUUCAGUGUUCAAGGUUUGCCACGAAAACCCAACUGCAAAAAAUUCUGAAAGCCCGUAGUUUGUUUAAGAAUUUCUGAAUCUCUAAUUGAUUCUUUGCAUUAUAGGCUGAUACAAUACUCGGUAAACGCAGCGACAUUUUAAUUCUCCUUUUUUUUUUUUUUUUUAAGAUUAAAUAGGAGAAGGCAUUUUGUCCCUGAAGGUUUUAUCUAUAGUUGCUUUGUUAAUUCAAAAUAUGCCUCCUCUUUAUCAGUCUAGUAUGAUUUAAUGAAUCAGUUCUGAAACUGCUGAGCACCCAGCAUUCCCAUCACUUCUCAGUACCACUGGGACAUGAGGAUCCUGAGCAUUUUUAGAAGGUGCCCAACACCUUGUGGGACUUUACCAUUAGUUCCAUGACUGAGCAAGGAGACUCACUCAGUGCAGUCACAGAGGUGUUCAGCACGAGUCUGCCUGCUUUUCGGGGCAUCCUGCGUAAUUUAGCUUGGUAGCAGAGCACGUGCUUCUGGCAAGGACAGCAACAGUUUGGGUUGCUUUUGAAUUUUGCUCUUCCCCAAGAGCUCUUUCCCUCAGACUCUCAAGACAGACCUGGAGUCGUGUGGCCCAUGCCUACUGCCUAUAAGAGCAGAUACCUUUAAUAGAGAUUUGCUGAACUUGGGAGCACAGAGAGGGUUAAAACCCAUUUGGCAUAUACAAAUGAAAGAGUUGGCGUUAAGGGAUCUGGUAGGAAGAGGAAUUGGUCUGCCAGGGAUGUAGCUAAUUUAUUACAAGGAGCAAUUGCUGUGGCUUGGUAGAGCCAUUUCUCAAAUCUGCACUUGCAAAUUCCAAAUACAUUACUUUUUCUGUGUGUUGUACCUCCUUGUCUUUUGAUUUAAUUCAAUUUAAAGAUCAUGGAUGAUGGCAUUAGGUGUUGAUAGUAGAAUAUGUUGUUUUGCAUAUAAAGAUGGCGUAGUCUUCUCAGAACAUUAGCAAGUUGUCACAGCAGCUAUGAAGCUUUCCACAAUGUACAGCAUCGCAAAUAUCAAAUGUAGACAACUAUUUUCUUCUCAUUUAUAGCUUUAUAGUGAAUUGGUGGUGGUCUGUAUUUUAUUUAGAUUUGCUGCUGUGACGUGGCCAAUUGCUGUCUUGCAUUUUUUAACACAAACUACUUGUCCAGAUAAUGGCAUGGAAAAGAAAAAAAAGCUGGAGAAUAUUUCAGCAAAGAUUGGUAAGGCUCAGAAAUAGGAAGAGAUUUAAAAGGAAAAGGAUUUUUUUUAAUUUUAUGAUUUUUAUCUUGUCAUUAUUAAUUGAAGUUUAAGGAGUCUGUGGAGGCAGAAGUGCCUUAGCCAAAGCUGGAGACAGAAAAUUGAGCUCAGAGUGCUCAGUCGGGUCAUACUGCACCUACACGAGUGAACCCACAGCAUCUGCUCACCCCAGCCUGCUGUGGGUGCCCUGAGCCUGGGUGGGCAAUGAGGGGAUGGACAGCACUGUGUGUGUGCACGCUACAAAACCAGGGUGAUCUGCGCCGUGUGACAGACUGCUGCAUGCCUAUGUAACUCACUAACAAAUCCUAUAGCUAGAGGCUGAAGAGAAAUCUUAAAAAAAUAUAUAUUCUAAAUUUGUCUCUCUGUUGUGAUGGACGAGAUGAAUAUGCAAAUAGAUGAGAAGUGUGAAUAUUUUUUAUUCUGUCCCAGGCAAUACUAGAAAUGAAGGUACUGUGUCAAGGGACUUGGAGAGCAGGUCACAAGACAGAGCUUUUUGCCUGUGUCACCAGUGGUCACACAGCGGCAAAGCCAGGGUUGUUUGUGUCUCAUAGGUGAAAUUACUUACAAAAUUUGGGAUUAAUAUGAAGGCAAUUAUGUCUUCAUAACCCUUGGCCAUUAAUGGGUUGGGAGGGAGAGCAGCAACUAACUCCCCAGCAGCCGUGGUGCCCACAGGUACUUUUCCAUAAGUUGACAUCCUUCCACUGCAAAAAACGUGCGUUUGUGCUAACAUUCUGGGUGUGCUCAUUUCUGCUAAUUCGGCCUGGUGGGCCACCCUUCCAGCAGAGGGGCUAGACGAGCAGCGGGGAGCAGCAGCACUUCCAGCCCCUGCAGCUGAGUCUGCAGGAGGCUCGUGUGCUGGAGCCCUGAAAUGUGCUCCCCAGCCUGGAGUGGUUUUUGGAGCAUGUGUAGACAUAUUGUCAGGGUACAUGGAAGUGCUUGUACUAAGACUGCCUGUUCUGCAAUGGUUUGGAGCACAAAGUAUUUCAGUUUUGAGGUUUAUAAAUUGAUUAUUGUUUGCAGUACUGAUACGAAAGAAUGCCACUCACAGUGUUACCAGUCCCUUUGACAGCCACCAGUUCCGUUUCUUUACAUUUUUGUAGUUCAUAACUUUUUCCCAGUCUUAGUUUAUCAGUCUAUGUGUAUUUUUCCAGUCAUCUAAAGCCAUCUGAGGACUCAGACUGGCACCAGCAUUAGUGAUGGUCACGGUCAGUUCUGCGCAACUUCCCCACCCACCAGUUCCUUGCCUACAAAGUGUUCUGCAGCUUGUGAAAUGGUUAGCACUUUGUCCAAAACAUUCUUGUUUAAAGGUGGUUUUAGGACGUGAGGCACUCAAGGUACAUCAGCAGACAGAAGUGCUGCCUACAGCAGGCAGCUGACAACAAGCCUGGGCCUCUUCCCUUAGCAGCCCGCAGUGGGGAGAGGACACCCUUCAGUCUGACCAGGUCAUGCAGUUUAGGUUGCCUCUCCUUGUGCCACUUGCAGCUUCAGAGCCGGAUUAUCACAGAGCUAUUUUCAUCCCAUCGGGUUACAGAGUCCAUUAUUUCUGCCAUUUCUAUGCUUGCGCCCCGUGUUUUAUUUGCUGUUGAGUGCUAAAACUCUGUCGCUUCUUGAAAAUCUGAUCUGCUUGCCCUGUUCAAACACAAGUGUUGAGUGUCUCAGAGUGAGCGAUCAAUAAUAACAAAGCCAUGAGAUACAUCAAGUACUAGUCUGCAAACUGAGCUACGCAGAAUUUGAGUAAAAUAGAUGUAAACACUGAGGUUUUGCAAGAUGUGCCAUGCAUCAGCAGGCUAGACUGCAGAAGGCAGGAUGUUCUCAGUCUGACAGACAGUAGCUCGGACUAGAACUGGUGAUAUAAAAUAGUGGUGUGUUCUGGGGCUAUUUACUUUGCAAAAUUCACUUCUUACAUGUAUCAGUGGAUAAAAAAAAAAAGAAAAAUAAUAAUAAUAAAAAAGCCCAUCCUGACUGUGCAUAGCUGGGGUCAGCCAAACUCCCCAUGCCACAGGCAAACCUUGCUCCCCUGCAGCAUCACUCCCAGCCACCCGGAGUGAUUUUGUAAGAGGGUUUUGGUCCUGGAGCCGUACCUUGAUGCCAGAUGUGUUACAUUCUGCAUGGGUGCUACACCUCUGAUGUUUAAUUGCCGUCCUGCCAUGUGGUCCGGGUGUGUUUUUUGUCUGCUGGCCACAUGAGCCAGAUGGGGCUGCAGAGCUGGUGAGUCUGCAGGAGGAGGGUUGUGAUAAAAAAACACUCUGGCAGAAGCGUUCAGGUGGUCCAUCUGUAGGCUUUUUUAUGUUUUUGUCUACAGCUGUCUGCUCAGCUCUGCCAUCUCAAGUGGCUCUUGGUUGCAACGUAAAAGGCACAGAGAAAACAAACCUUCCUGAAUCAGAAAGGUCAAGAAGAAAUCCAGUUUGACCGAAGGGAUCUUUGGCAUCUCCUCACUGUAAUCCUCUUCAUUUCUGUCUCCCUACACUUGCUUACCCAUCAGGGCCGGUGGCUCCUGAUGACAAACCUCAGCCUUCAGAGGUGCCACCAGCUGCCUCUGGGACGUGCAUGGAAGCUAGCUUGCCUGAACGUGCCCCCAGAUGUCUCUGUGCUUUGCCUCCCCAUCCCUAAAGCAGGAGUGCUGCUGCUUAAUCCUGUAAAUGUGACCCAGGCUGUGGGACACUCAGAUUUUGUGGAGAUGAAGGCAUACGGAAACACAAGACAGAAAACGCCAGAGCACAGAGAAUCUGUUUAUUUUUGCUGGGAUAUUUCUUCCGGAAGGAGGAGCCACAUUCAGAAAACGGCUUUAGCAAAAUCACAGCCAGCUGCUGUGAAAACACCAUCUGAAGUUUGUUGGAGAAUUACAGGAGAGGGAAGAGGGAGACCACACUGCUGUCACUGCUGGUGACAGGAACAUGCGAGUGCGAGGAUCUGGCCCUGGCCGUGCUGGCGUUUGGUGUAGUGGAACCGAAACAUCAGAAGUGGUUGGAAGAUGUGUAACCUGUGGCAGUCCAUAGUAUUUACAAAUGAGAAACUGAAUAAGUAUUUACCACUAUGAUCAUUUAAGGCAAACAAGUAAACCAUGUGAUACCCUUCGAAACAGCAAAAUAGAAAAAAAAAAUUAAAAUCUAUAAUUUUAAUCAAAAGUUUGUUUCAGUCAUUGAAAUUCUGUUAUUGCUGCUUACAAACAUUAAAGUCAAUCAAAACAUCAGUAGCCUGAAAGAUCAAUAUUUUUAAUAUGUUUGCAUUGCAGUGCUGCAGAUUUUUGGCUAAUGGAUCUCACCCAUAUUGAUUUCCAUGGGAAAUGUUAGUCUGAUACUGAAAUAAUUAAAAAAAAAAAAAAGCCAGGGAUUAUUGGUUUGGAAUUUUGAAGGAGAUAGAAGUAUAAAAAUUGGUUAUUGACUGAAUUGCUUGGGGUGAAUGAACCUUGGGCACUUGCAAUAAACUUGUAGCACAGAGUCAUUACUGAAUACUACCUUAGUCCCGUAAACCUAAAAUCAGUCAAUAACCUAUUAUAACAAUGCAAAUUGUGGUGAAAUAACAUAGUGGGUCCUUUUCAAAGCAGCAGGAUAUUCAUAAGCAUCUACAUACAUACAUGGAUGGAUGCAUUAAACAACCUCUGCAACAUGCACAACAGCAGCUGAUUUUCAAGUUUAUUUUAAUGCAUCAGGUUUAUGUUGGUGUGAAUGCGAACGGCUUGAAUUGAAGUAAUUGUUUCAAAUAAGAUUAAUGGCUUUGCAACUCCUAAAAUGAAUAAAAGUACAGCAAAGUGCUGUAUAUAAAUGCAUAAACAAAUGUAUCAAUACUGUCCCAGUUCUGGGCAAAUGCUGUUUUGUGGGUUUGUUUGUGGGUUUGUUUGUUUUUGUUUUUGUUUUCGUAUUUAUUCUGUUGUGGGGGGGAAAGCAAAAGCAGUGACCAGCCUGAACCAGCAGCUGGAGCGGGUCUGUGCUCACCCACUGCUGUCCCCCAUAGGUGUCCAUGCUUUUUAUUCAGCCCCUUAUUCCAUAAGCAUUGUGAUUUCAUUUACCUAGCAUGUUCAUCUUUUUUUUAGGAGAGGAUUCUCCCUUUUUUUUAAGAGAGGAUUCUCCCUGGGAAUCCUGUCCCUGUGGCACCUGGGCAUCAUGAUGGUGAAAUAAAUCAGUUCUCUGAUGCGGGAUAUCCCCUGCAUUCCCAGCCAGGGACUGGAUGCCCUUACCUGAAGUCAGGCAAGUCUUUACUGGCUAGAAUGCUAAUUUUUAUUCACAGUUAAAUGAAACACCUAAGCAAAGCGAUGCCUUUCGGUUCCUGGUUUAAAAAUGAUCUGAGACUCUCUUUUGCUCUGUGCUGGAGACUAAUAGCUUGAGUGUUUCUGCUAAAAGUAGGCACUGCAGUGUGCAAGUUGUCAAGUGAACUAUAUUUUCACCUGAGCUGUAUAAAUAUUUAACACAUGUAUACUAACGCAGCGGUGAUAACUCGGUGCCUGUGAUAACGUGGAAAAGAGAGGUCAUGUUUAUAUUUUACUAUUAGAAAAUUUAAUCUAUGGAUGUUUUCUGAUUUCUUCUCCCCGAUAUGUUACUCUGAUCAUACCUGGCAAGGAACAAAGUGGGCUGCGCUGCCGCCACUGUGCUUGGGUCAAAAUUUGGGGAAAUUCUCGACGUGAGCAGCUCAGCAGAAAGCUGCAGAGGCGGGAUCAGUACUCAGAGCCUGGGUUUAACUACAGAUGUCUGACAACAGGCAGGUUACUGCAUCCUACCAGAGCCUCGAUGGACCAGCACCAUUUGGGAAUAACUCUUAAUGAAGUCUAAAAUUUCUCAGUAAACUUGUUAAUAGGAGCCUCAUCAUUGGGAAACUACCUCUGUAGUUACUCUUCAAGUCACGUAAUUUCUGAAUAAUUAACAUCCUCCCGCUUGCUGGAGCCGUGUAUUUAGGACAGGGAGAUGCUGGCGCAGCAGGAGCCAGUCCCACAGUGCAGGUCCAGCUCCAUCCCUGCCACCAUGUGAGACCCCUCACGUCUGCAUGACCAUACGGGAGGUGGGCUGGUUUUGAGCCCUUCCCCUUUUCAUUUUUCCUGGGCUGUAAUAUGUUCCCCUUUUUAAACCUUUUUCAUUGUUUUCCAGGUUGAGAUCAGGGCAGCAUUUCAGAACAAAGCUUUCCUGUGCUGCAUCCCAGGCCUGCUAAUGCCUGCCCAUGUUCUGUCAUCUCAAAAGGCUUGGUAGAAAGAUGAGGCGUGUUUCCGAAAAAACAAGAAGUGAGGGAAGAUAACGUCUCUUGUCAAAAUCACUCUUUCUCAUGGCUUGAAACUUCUUAAACUAACUAAUAAAAACAAAGGUUUUGCCUUUCUUCCUCAUGUGAAGCAGAGAUUAAGUAUAUGCAGGGAGGGACAGUGAUAAAGGGAGAUGAGAACUCCUCCAUGCCUAGAAUUUUAAUUUUUGUCUUUUCUUUUUGGGGGGGAGGGGAAGGAAAAGGUUUAAAAAGGAAAUAUAAGUAAUAGUGGAUUUUCCCACAUGUUUUUAACACAUUUGUCUCACCUUGUACAAUUCAGAACAGAGAGAAAUGUUUGAGGCUUAGGAUAUUCCCUAAAGAAACCAAACAAAAACAUCCAAAAAAAUCAAACAAAGCUAUGUGUUGUUUUUUUUUCCAAAACCUAUGUAAAAAAGAUUAAACAUUAUAAACUGGGAGUUGCAUAACAAGAGAAAUUACAGGGGAUCUUAGGGAAAGUUUAAAUGAUGCAGGAGUAAAGGGGAACAAAACAUCAAUGGCAAUUUGAUGAUCUGAAGCAGGAAGGAAGAGGCAGAUCUGGAGCUGGUGGAGCUGUCACAGCCAGGUCAGGGCUGGGUGAGGGCACAGAGGAAGUGUGAAGGCAGGGGACUUUCAGCCCAGCCUGCACAGUUCCCUUCCCUACAAGGGCUGCAAGCACAAGAGACAGAGACCAGGUCCCUAUAAAAGCACACCAGCAUUUUUCGUUCUGUGUGCCGUACCACACUGUAUUUUGGGGCAAGCAGCCUGAAGAGUUACCCUGGAAGUGUCAUUUAUUUUUUGGAUGGGAAAUGUUCAUAUGGAGAAAGGGCCUGAGCAUCAGAGCUGGCAGCCUGCAGGAUGGGGCUGCAGACCCCUCGCAACAGUUUUCUGGUUCAAUUGUAGCUUAGCCCAGACCCUUGAUUUAUGACCGUGUCCCUUGUCUUCUCUAGACCCUGUGUUUUGUGCCCAUUGCUUUGCCUCCACGUGGCAUAGUCAGUGAGAUGGUUCAGGAGAGGUCUCUCAAGCUCAUGUGCCAGGGGAUGUUGCUACACCUGAGUGUGAGGCAUUAAGCAGUUCACUGCUUUUGCUUUUCCUUGUUCAGAGGAAGAGGCCAAAGAUAAUACAAGCUGCAAUGAUUUCAGAAACACAAAGAAAAAACCAACAGUAAUAAAACAUACAGAACUGCUAAAAUAUGGGGUUCACCACAGAGCAGCAAGACAGUUCUUUUUUUCCCUGAGUAGAAGCUUGUUCCUCAGCAUGGCUUGAAACAGAUGUCUCAAAUCUGUAAUCUGAUUGUAUAGGCUACAGGAAAAAUCCUCUACUCAGGUACACGAUGUCUGCAUGAAAACAAAUAAUAAGCAGGAGCUGGUGCGUCACAGAGUCAAAGACACUUUGCCUUGAGUUUGCAAUUACUUUAUUAUUCAUCAUGGAGAAGUUGCACAGGUUAUCCUUGGAAGGUGACACGUAUGCCUCAUCUGAUACAGAAAGAUGGAUUUUGUUAAUUUGAAACUCAGACCAGGACCCAAGGACUUCGAAGAAGUAGCCCAAAUUUCAGCCUCUGUGUGGUGACAGCAUAUUGGCAAUCAAAAAUACAGCUUUAGAGAGCUGUUCCUUCAUGUUUCGGUCAUGUAGUUGUGUUUCUGCCACAAUGCAGGAGGUACUGCUUUCUGGCGAUGUCACCAGGUAUCUUCCAAGCGCUGUUACCAUAGUUUCACAGUAUUUGUGUCUGUUUUCAAGAUUAGAGAAGAUCACUGAGCUGAUUUAGCUUUUUAGUUACAAUAACAGUAUUUCUCUUAUUAGUCUGCAGGUAAAUUAUGAUGGAGAUUGGCUUGUUCUUAAGUACAGGAUUUGGAAAACUAAAAUAUUUGCUAUGGCCCCAGUUCAGGGAAGUAUUUGAAGCAUGAUGCCAUGGGAUGCUGGGCACCAAUGCAUCUCGUUGAAUUUAAUACAGAUCAGGGAUGUUUGGCAUCCUGCAGAACUGAAUCACCCAUCUAAUACUUUGAAUGUAGUGCAUACUGAAAUCUUCUUGGGAAUUCAGGCCUGCUGAGAUGAAUCGUGAAACCUGUAGGCUUCAGUUACACGUAUACAUUUGUAUAUGCAAAGUAGUUAAUUCUGCAUGUAUUUGAUAAUUUCCUGCUGUAUGACAUACUGGUACUUUUGUAAUGAAGUCUUCCAGGCAGGUAGUUUUUGUAUAUCCAAGUAAGGCAGCUCUAAAAUAGGGAAGCUGUGUUAGUUCACUGGAUAUUGCUAUUGUUACUGCAGAAAAAUGCAGAAAAAAACAGCAGCUCCAUGACAUUUGGGCACUCUUAUGAGCCUGUCCAGCAGUUAAGUUAAAAUAGAAUUAAAUAAAUUAAAAUAAAUAAGCAAAUACCUUAAAGUAAAUAAACAAAGUGUAGAGACGUGGUAUUAAAUCAAUAGAGUAUAACUUUCUGAACUUUCUGAUAAGUUUUGGAGAGGCACCAGCCCCCUUUACAAAGGAGGUUAGAGGCAGUAUGCAGUGGUUGUACAGGAGCCUCGUUUUGCAAAAAUGCCUCCAGAGACACGGGUGUCAGCAUACCUCCCCAUUUCCACCCCCUCUACCCCCCUCUUUCUGUCAUAAUGGGGGAGAAAUUGGUUCCGAAUGUGUUUUCUUGACCCCCUACUCCAUACAUGUUAUCACCUAACCUUAAAUGAUGUUUCUACAGUCUCGCCUGUAUUUACAGUAAUUAUAUGCAUAAUGUAGCAUAUUAUUGUCUGGACUUCCUGUUUAAUCAGUACAGAGCUUCUUACAAGUGCAGCUGAAAAGGGCAAACAAAAUUAAAGCUUUAUAUACCAAAACAAGUUUGAUUUGCUAAGCUCCCAGCAUUCCAAAGUACACAGAUUUGUUCCACCAAGUUUUGCGAUGGCUUGCAGAUGGGCAAUGAUUAAUCAGAGAGCUAACUGUGAAGUAGUUUGCAAUUAAACUGGAAAGCUCUGAAGCAUGCUAAUUGAAUCAGAAAAUUAGAGACACUGAGCAGUAAUUGGCUAUUUCUCAUGCAGCAGGUGCCAGGCCACUCAUCUGUGGAACAAGGUAUUUAAGGCGCAUUAGCACUAGUAAAAAUACUUCUUGAUAUGGAACAGUUAGAUUUUCUGCUCAUUUUCACCAUGGAUGUCAAAACACACAGCUGUGAUGUCUAGUGCUCACAGUUCAUGCUGUAAGAGUUUGGGCAGGGUGGUCACAAACCUGUGUUCACGCAGUAUUUUUAAUCAGGUUGAAUUUGGGGUGCCUGGGCACCUUUCUGGUCCUGGCAGACCCACAAAUCCCUUCUCUGAGUUUGCUUAUAUGGGUUUUUGUUUGUUUUUUGAACAUAGCUGGAUGAUUUUACCAGCAGCAGCUGACGAUCAGGUGCUAGGGACUCUGUCCCCCAGCGCCCCUGUUCCUGCUCCGUGGGGAGAGGCCGUGAGCACCCCAUGCAGUACUCUGUCCCCAGACCUGCUGAAAAAACAGAAGGGUCAUUUCUGUGUGUGCUGGUUAUAGAUGUAAGUGUCAGCAGAGUGUGGGCUGCCGUGGUCCUGCGACACCGUGAGUGGGACGCAGUCACUUCUGUUUCAUUCUUCCACAGGUCUUAAAAAAAAUUACAAGUUUCUAGUUGAAUAUUAGUUGAGGGCAUCAAGAGUAUAAAUCUAAUACUGCUGUGAGCUUAGUAGAUGCAUAAAGCCAAUUCAUAUCAUGUCUCAGCGUGAGUUUAUAUCUUCUAAUUAGUACCACAAUUUUAUAGAGAACACACGCAAUGAAAGUUUGUUUGCCGUGCCAACAGGGACCGGAGCACAUACAGUAGUUGUGCUGUAGCAGAGUGAUGGUGCUGUAUGAGCACAAACGGCUUGUAGCCUGAGCAGUAGGUAACCAGAAAAGAAUGGGAUUUAAUAAGUGAAAUGGUGGAGAGUUUUUACAGAGAUAUAACCAUUUUCAAAUUAGACUGGGUGGGGCGCAUGAUUUCUUUCUUCGUAACUAAUUAGAGCUUGGUAUGCUUAUUAGUGAAUAAAAAAAAAAAAAGGUAUUAAAAUAGAAAUGCACUGCAUCAUAUUACUCUGAGUAUCGAGAAGCGGAAUAUUACAGUAUUCAAAUGCUAAUCAUAUCACUUAGCAGAUGACUGCAGAAAGUAGUGUAUUUGAACUGAGACAUAAAUUAUAAAUUGUAAACAGUGCAUAGGGGAUAUGUUAUAACUGUGUCUCAUUUAAAUUAAGGCAGAGAGUUUUCUCUGAAGCAGAUUAUGUGCCUUCAUUAAGUUUUAAAGUCCCCUCUAUAAUGUUUUAUUAAGAUGGCUUGGCACAGUGUUUCCCAGACUGGAUGUUAGCAAUGUGCAGUGGUGGAGGCGGCCGCAGCAGCGGCGGUUCGGGCGCCUCGACACGCUCCUGCAUGCCGUCCAGCCAAGGGAUCACACCCGUACAGUGGUGGCUUUUGUGUCCCGCACCCCUCCCCGAAAAUCCUGGUGCCUUUGCUUUCUUUACUUGAAAGCAGCUCCAGAACAUUUACAUGAUCAAUGUUUGUUGCUGGAGGGAUAAAGUUUGCUCUUCCAUGGACAAGUGAGAACAUAUUGAUCAUUUUAUUCUAUUUGCUAUUUCUAAAUUCAAUAUACCUCUGGAGUCGAUAAGCGAGAUCGAGAGCAUAUUCUUUUUUGUGUGUGCCUGCUUGUAGCUUGUUCUCAAGAUCCAAGAUACAUUUUUGAUUAAUCACGAAUGCUCUGGGGUCAUGGAGAGCAAAUGUGUUUGUGGAGUGUCAGCUGAUGCUGUCAGAUAAAUGUCUUAAGCUUAGCCAGGGUUCGUGCCCCAGCUUUAGGCUGUGCCAAAUGUCUCCCCUUGUAGAGGAAGAUAACAGCUACACUGGAGGCGACUGAGCUGUUUAUUCACAGAAAGGGCUGACCUUGCCACAUGGGGCUACACUCAGGUGAAAAAAAAAAAAAAAAAUGGAAAUGUUUUAAUUGAAACUUGAGAAAUCCUAACUUUCUGCAGCAUCCCCCAUGUGACCCAACCCAAGUGAUUCCCUCAUUGCCCAGCCUUGGUGCUGCUGGUCCAGGCUGUGUCCCUGUCCCUGAUGAGGCUGGUGGCACCAGGGUGCUUGUGCUGUGGCAGAAAAGCAGGCAGAAGCCCUCCAGGCAAACAGAAAGGCUCCCAGGGGCAUCCACAAGGGCAGCUUCACGUUCGGAUUCUCAGCAUCCCCAGUGAGCUCCUGGCCUGGCGAGGGGCAGCUGCCAAGGGAUGCUCAGGAGUGCCUCCUCUUGUCCGUGGCAGGCUUUUGGAGUCAGGCACUGUUCAUCAGCAGUAAUUUGUCCUCCAAAACGAGUCAGAAGAGGUAGAUAAGGAGUAGUGACACGAUUGCUGAGCUAACACCUGGAGAGCGCUUUGUACCCAGGCUGUUUUGUAGUGCUGAAGGCAAAGAGAUGGAUCAUAUGGUGGUGCAUAAAUAAGUGAAAGCUCCCAGGGCUACUUGUGGGCAUCAGUUGCAAACCUCCUCAAAUCGGGGCUUUCUCUCCCUGCCAUCUCCCCAAAAACGUGUUUGUUCUUUGCUCCAAAGAUGAUGCUCCACUUUUCCUUUCCUCUCAAGAAGUUCAUACUGUCAUGGGUAAAUCAUCGGGGCUAAUUAGACUCAAUAAUGCUGCAAAAAAAAUUCAAAAAAAGAUAUAACACAUCUGUCAUGAACUCCCACCAGAUCUCUUGGAAAUGAGACAUUUUUAAUAUUUUAUGCUGAACACAAAAUAUCUUGAGGAAAUGGUUUUAUAUGCUGUGUACUAAAACAAAACCUUCAGUGUCAAAUGAGUAAUACUGUCUAAGCAGCCCCUUGAAUGCUGUUAUUUCAGAUCUCACCACUCUUAAAAUAUGAAUUUCAUUUUAAUAAAAUGUACUCUGUAUUAAAAAAAAAAAAAAAAAAAAAGUUGUAGGAAAUAAUGAAGAAAGUCCAAUGUAUGUCUGACUGUAAAACUGGUAAUGUCUGUUCCUGUAUCAGGGAACACUCCAGGCUUCAAAUAAAAUUUCAGCCUUAGAAACCCAGAGUUGUUUUUUUUUUAAUGAGAUCUUUUCGACGAACAUCUAAAUCAAAUUAAAUGCAAAUAUUUUGCACUUUAAACUGAUUUUAACUAAACCUCUAGCUGCUUUUGUCCUGAAAAUAACUGUCUUCCUUAAAACAAUAUUUAACAUUGACGUUUGAGUCAUGUGCUCCCAGUGUAUGUCAACAGUUAAAUUUGUCUGCCAUGCCUACAAGGGGGACAGAUGAUGCAUGUGAAAACUUCAAUGUGCAAAAGUUGGGUAAAUCCCUAUUUUGUGUUUAUUCUUGAUGGCAAGUCACAGAUACUUACUUAUUACAAAUACUUACCUGAAUGACAGGAAAAUGCACAUAUUCAAAUUCUGUAAAUCCCAAUAAACUUCUAAAUCAUUCAUUUAAAUACUUAGCCUGAGAUAUGUUUCUUAAAUAUAUCAGUAAUGCUUAUUAAACAGAGAAGCACACCCUGUUUGGCACACUGCAAAUUUUCCUAUGUUAUGACCGCAUUAUUGGGGACAUACAAAAAAAACUCUUAUCUGUAUAUGUAUGUAUAUAUAUAUAUAUAUAUGUCUGCCCUGAGGCUCUGCUCAGCUGGAAAGGCAGGGUAGGAAAGGUGAAUGAAGAAAUAAAAUUAUCGACGGAAUUAAAUCAAAGAAACAACAGAAGUCUUUAUCAGCAAAUUUAUCAGUACGGCUGUGCCAAAGAUCUGCUGCAAACUGUUUAUUGACCUAGGUCCUGCCUCAAGUUAUUCUUUCCAGCAUUAUUUGGGAUAUUAAAUAUUCAAAUUAGCCCACCUGAAUUAUGAAUUACUUUCUGAUUGUUUCUUCCUGGUCCUGUCCUUUUUUCUUUCUGGUUUGCAAAUUGUCUGGCUGACUGUGAACUCCUUCAGCAGCUGCUGAACUGGACAGUAGACAGCUAGUUGUAGGAGAGACCAUGUUAAAAUUUAUGCAGUUUAGGCACUCUUCUACAAAUGAAUUUCUCAUUCAUGUAAAAAAAAAAAAAUUAUUCAACCUUAAAAUGCAGCUCAGAAUGACUUUUGCCCACUUACCUAUUUGGACGUUGUCCGAUGAGUAGUUACCUUCGCAGGGUUAAUCCAGGAGCUGAGUUUUGCCUGCAGGGUGCACAGCUUGGGUGCUUUGGGCCGGACAACAAUGAGGUCCUCCAGCCUUUCCUGAGGCUUUUCAUUAUCAGCAUGCUCUGAGUUUCACAGGCAGCAUCCACUUGCCCUAUUUUUCAACAAUGUUGUAUUAAGUGCCAUCUCAUUGCACUUGUGUCUUAAAGUUCAUGGUCUGCUUCCCUUACAAAUAGUGUUAUUUCAGUGCACUUCUGGCUUUUAGACAUAAAGAGAAGAUAAGACCAUGUUCCUUGUAGUCAGAAUGUAACUUUAAUGCAUCCUACAUGGGAAUUAAUAUUUGUUUGUAUCAGCACGUUAGUAGGGGCAAGAGAUGUUUGCUUCUCUAUAUCUAUACACUGUAAAAAAAGGUCGACCAACUAUCUAUUAAAAAAAAAAAUCACCUAAAUCUAACCAAGGGACUUUGAAAAAAAGCUAAGGCAGAGCUGUGCUUUAAAUCCCAAAUAAGUGUCAGCUAAGUCAGGCUCACAGAGGAGGUGUCUUACUCACUCAGCAGCAACAUGAGGGACCUCUCUUCCCACCUGGGACUCUGGCAGAUUGCUUUUUUGCCAAAUGGGAAAAGGCACAAGCUUCCCUUCAGCUCGUAGGCUAGUGAAAGCAAAGCAAGAACAUGCACUCACAGGAUGGAAAGAUAAAACUAUGUGGAUGUGAGCUGGCAGAGCGGGGGCUGACACCUCGCACUGGUUUGGACUGAAAGCAUGGCUUUGACCUUUUUCCAUGAGCUGGGAUGGACGGUCAGGACUUGAUCUUUCCCAGAGGUGAACACAAAGUGCCAGCCUCCUCUUUGUGCUGUGUUUGCUGGGGAGGAGUUCAGAGCUUCUCCUGGUGCCUGCAAAAGUGAUUUCUUGACAAGACUCACAGGGUGCAAGCCACCAAAAGAGGUUUCCUCUGUCAACAGUGAUAGAAUAACAUCCUUCUGCCAUGUGAUGUAGCAUUCAGGUAAAGCCCAGGCUGUUUUUUUAACUGUUUCUUCCCCUUGCCUCCUCACUAACGUGUUUUUCUAGCAAUUUUCAGAUGGCUCGGUUAAGGGAAACCAGUGGGUUUUAGGCAGAGCACCACGAGCCUCAGCUAUUUGGGAUGCCUGGUUCACCUUGCCAGGGGUACCUGGGAAUCUGACCUCCUGCCCUUAAGACAUUUGUGGUAGAGACACGUCCCUGUAUACCACUUCAGUACGUGCCCUGCCUGGCUGCUUUUUGAGCUUGAGACAGGCCAGUGUGCUUAGACAUGACUUCGCUUCAUCAGCGCCCUCCACGCUAAUUCUGCAUGACAGCCAGCCCUGCUCCCAGCCCUGCUCCCUGCCCUGCAUCAGUUUCCCUGCUGGGGGACCUUCAGGGGCAUUUUACAGACACCCAGGUGGAUCACCUGUGCUACGGCAAGAGCAGAGACGUCUGACACUAAUCCAGCUUCCAGAAAGAGAGCUGGCAGUCAUAAUAUGCAGUCUAAUAUUCAAGAGAAAAGCAGUGGUGUCACAGCCCAGCUGUAUGGUGUGAUAGUGGUUGUCUGAAGGACCAGCCGACAAAUUAUUCUGACCCUUUGUAGGCAUCUCAGCAGAGAGCUGCACAGAGGAAUUUCUAGGAAGUUAAUAAAGUGGGUCUGCAGGAAUUUGUGGAAAAGACUACCCAAAUCUGACACUUGAAGGAUUGUGUGACGGGCUGACCAGAGGAAGGAGCGAGUGUGAGGAGAUGGAUGGGCCAGGCAGCAGGUCGGACAGCCACGUAUGUCUGCCUUCAUUAAUUAAAGUGCCCAGGGAUGGUCCAGGGUGCUGGGGUGCAUCUGCCCAUGCUUUCGUGCUCCUCAGACUGCUCCUGGUGCCUGAGGAGGACAGCUCGCCAGCCCUCAGCCUGCCUGGGAGUCGGGGUUGCCUGAGGGGACUGCAUGCCGGGAACGCUUGGUGCCAGUGGGGCCUGGUGCCCAGCAAGGUUCCUGGGGCUGUUUGCCAGCACAGGCAAAGCCCGUGAGUUCUGGAUGCAGGAACAGUGACCUGAAGUUCCCUGUGAUCAAGCAAGCAGAGCCAGUGAAGGGUGAAAAAAGCAGCACGGCAUGACAAAGAUCUUCACAGGAUGAGUGCCUGCAGGCCCUGAGGUCGUUGGCAGGAAAAGAGAAGAAGGCAUCAUGUUGGCCAUGGUGAGCUUGGGCAGCAGUGCUGUUUUAACAAACAGGGCAGGGUUGGCUGUAGAGGUUUAUUACACAACAGCAGCAGCCAACGUGAGCCACGAGCAGGAUCUGGAAGCAGCGCUUGCCCUGGAAGCCCAGCAGGUGACAUCUCCGGGGGCUGUGAAAGGACUUAACAGCCAGGCUUGGAAGGAAAGACGGAUGGUGGUGAGCCCCUGGACGGGGUGAGAGGGGAACGAGAGCCAGGGAGCUGGCGGUGAGGAGGGGUCAGAAGCAAUGUGUAGGGAGGAGAAGGAGCGAGACCGGGCAGGAGAGAGCUGCAGCACGAGGGGAGAGCAGGGCACUGAGGAGGGAGCGCGUCCACCGUGACCGGGGCUGGGAUGGCAGAGGGACAGCGCCCGCUCCAGGAAAUGGGGGAGAGCAUAAGGCUUGGAGAACAAUAAACCACAUUUUAUAUUAAUUUUUACCUUUGUUUUUGGCGUCCGUUAAAAACGUACAUUUAGGGACGUAAACACAACUCUUUCAGAGCUGAAUUUCUUAUUAUGAUUAUGUAAAUGUUGCAAGUUGAUUAAGUCUUUGUAGUUAUGUUUUGGCUCAUAGCAACAUCUUUAUCAGCAGCAUAAUUCAUACUGUAGCAGUUAGUAUGACACUAGAGAGAAGUAUCAGUUUAUUUCUUAGAGCUAAUUGGCUUCACUACAUAGUUCAAAAAUCAUUGGCAUCUAGUCAAACCAUACUCACAGAAAAUGUACCAUGCUAAUAAACGCAGAUCAGAUGCUAGCAACGUUGGUAUUAAAUUUAAAUGAAGGCAUAUCCAACCUAUAUCAUUAUUUUACACCUUCAUAUCAUCAUGUAAAUACUAAAGCAAUUAGACUCAGUAGGUCUGUUUUGUCCAUCAGAUAUAUAGGUGUAGCACUCAUAGAAUUAUAUUUUUUUUCAAAGGCAGAAUCAAUUUCUGAAAUCUUAUUUUUACUCCCGUGUAUCUUGGGAAGCACGGAUGCAUACCAUAAGCAUUCUCAGCAAUAAAUAUGUUUUCAGGAAGGUUAAACAAAGAUAGGAUGGAUGUAACCCCAAUAAAAAGGUGCAAUUGUAGAGAAUAAGGCAUUUACCUAGGGUAUAAAGGAGGAAGACAUCCUAGUUUUUAUUUGAUAUUUUGGUUUCGGGAUUUUAGAAAGUAAAGUCAUCUCAUCAGCCAAACUGCUCUUGUUUCAUCUUGUUGCUUGUUUGCUUUAAAAGGCUGUAUGUUGUUGUUUGUGUUGUGCCCUUGUGGCAGCAAGCUGGGUGUGGGGCAGAGCUACGUCCAGUAGGGCAUCCACAAGGGGCAGGAGUGGGAACAAGAGAGCGGUGGAUUGGGUUUGCAGUGGCUUCACCUGCAGAAAUACUUCCAGUGCGUGCAAUGAAGCAGUGCUGGUCCCCACUUCGCCUCCUGCUCCAGGUAGGAGAGCACGGGCCGGGCUUAGGCACAGCGGAAACUCCUCUGAGCAGUGAUGUUUGGUGGAAACCGAGCACUGCACUGCCUCUACAGUAGACCUUCACGUUGUAAAAUGUUUGGCUAUUCACCAUUGAGAAUGAUGUCAUUAGAGCAUUUUGUCAGGGCUGGCCAAUGCAUGCCCCUGGCCAGUCACUCCUAAGCAUGCCGGUGUCAGUGGUGGCUGCGAGCGGCAGCACAUGCAAGCGGAGCCAGGACCUGAAGUAACCACAAGGCUUGCGCCUCAUCAAAAUGCAUCUUGAAUUCCAUACGGCUGCCUGCUAAGGUAUCUUGUACCAUCUCCUAUCGGCGGUGUAUCUCCACGCUGUGUGACAUGGCCUGCUUUGAGCAGCUUCCCUCUCGGCACUCCUCUGCUCUCCGUGGCUGCUGCCCGCGCCAGGCAUCCCGCCAAGCAUUCUGCUGCCCGCCACUGCUGACCGUGAUUCCUGGGCAGACCAUCUCCGACCUGGCCACUUCUCCCCACCACGGCAGAAGGGACGUCUCUGGUGCCUGCUCGGCAGAGAAGGCUGAUUCAUGUGUAAAUUGCUGGUUGCCCUUUAUUUGCGGGGUCCGGGGAGAGUACACACGCAGAUUAAAGAGGAGGUCAGGACUGGGUACGUGAUGGUUUCUCCUGUGGCUGUGAUGGCAGGGUUAGAGUUGUCAAAGAUGAUCAGACAGACUCCGACGCCUUAUUUACCCACAGUUUAGCACGUAAAAAUAAAUCCCGGCCAAGCGGGAGGCUUUUGCAGCAUUGCAGGCCAUCAGCACCAUCAGCCUCCAGCACCAGGAUUUCUGAACACCCUUGUCAGUGUCUCUGAGAGCAGUACCCAUGCCUACAUACCGGAAUGCUUCUCUUUAAGCACCGUGCAGUGAGCAUCCCCUGCCCUGGCAGGGCAGGCACUAUCUGAGCACAGGCAUGGUGCUGCUGAGCUCUGGCAUCAGGGACGGGGGCACCGGCUGUGUGCCAAAACCCUCGUGGAACUCAGUUUCGCAUCCCCGUAGUUCCCUAUUAAACAGCUCUCUGAGUCUUCCAGCACCCUGUGUUGUGUCUCAUUUAAUAACGUAGUUAUAAUAUAUUUGUCUACUUUACAACUGUAUUUGUAUUGGCGUGUGAAGUGUGCAGCAGCUGGGAGCUGUGUGGGGGUGGCAGAAAGUUAUUUGAUCUACAAAAUCAGUUACCUGUCACUCAGUUGCCUUUCACUGAAACAUAAUAAAGAAUCAUUAUGGGCCUAUUAGCAGCGCUGAUGUAAAUGCAUUUUACGUGCCAUUUUGAGAUCAACAGUUACCCACACUAAAGUAAAGUUGUUAAGCACAACCUUCUUUGUUCCAGGCAGCAAAUCAUAAAUCAGGCAGAAUAUUAUUAAGCUUAUGAAAUGUAAAUCCAGGACCCUCCCGAGGGUCUGAUCUGUCUGGUCAGCUUCAGCAUUGGCACUGAGGGCUGUCCUUCCCCAGAACAACCACGUGGCAACCUCGGCUCUGCUAGCAUACCACCACCUACUUCAUAUGCGCAUGGAUGUGUUAUGAAUGCUUUUUAAGAGGCUUUUGUGGGGAAGAAAAAAGCACGCCUUUUAAUAUAUUUUAAAAACAUGAAAUUAAAUGGCUCAGACUGGAUUAGGAGAGUGAGGGUAUAACUUGUUGCACACCAGUUUUAUACCUCCCGUGAGAAUUCUCUUCUUUUUCAUUGUUAUUAACGAUAUCACAUUUUUGUGUAUAAUAUUGAUGCUAUUGAAAUCACUUAACAGCUUUAUUUGCCAGAGAGAACCUGUCUAAAAAAAGAAAGUUGUUAAUGCUAAUAUUUUGAAAUUCACCUCACAUCCCUUGUUACUCUUUUAGUUAUUUAAAUUCCAUUUUGAAAAUUCCCACACUGUCUCAGAACCUGUUUCCUCUCGAUCUCACUGCUGCAGCUUGAAACACCUCUCCUCGAAGCCACCUGUAAAUGCACUUUUUGCUUCUUUUAGUAGAUUAGCCAGGCCCCGAGCGCCUGGGAUGGGAAGAAAAUAUGGAAUGCGGGGUAAAGUCAGUUCUUCAGAGGUCUGUUUUACCUAGCCCUUAAAGUGGUGGGCAGGAAUUUAUGACCCCGCAGCAAGCAGCCAGUUGGACAGCAGAGGGGUUCUCACAAGCUUCUUCCAGACCUUGUCUGGUGGUGCCAACAAUCAUCAGCCUCGAUUUAAAUGGACUAAAGGUGGGUAAAGGCUGUGUUGUUAGCUGUGAGCCUACCUGGCCAUACAGCAUCCUUCCCUCAAGCAUCUUGUUGCUGCCUUGUCAGCAUUAAAACACGUUUUCUGAAAGGGGUGCUGGUAACCCGGUCUCCAAAACACUCCAGAGAGUUAGGACUUGUUUUUAUUUUUAUUUUUUUUUCCUAGUAAUAUCAACCUGUGUGUACAGUAACAGAAGUGAAAUAUUUGGCAGUUCUAUGUGUAUACAAAUAUGCUUCAUGUAUAUAAGUACGGAGCACAGUACACAAAUAUACCAUUUACUUAAUAUAAGCAACAACAUUCUGUGGCAAUUUUCCUAAGAAUAUAUUUUAUACAUCUGUGAAGAUAUAUAUAUGAUAUAAUUAUAUGACAAAUAAAAAUAUUUGAAGGUAGUGAACAGAUUUGUUUAUAUGCAUAGUCAUUUACUUACCAGGGUAGCUGAUCUCAAAUGCAGAACUCUUAUUUACGUUGUGCCAUAAACAUACAUUUAUAUACAUACAAAACUAUACAUAACAACCGGGAGCGAAUUAUCAGUGCUAAAAAUAAAUCUUUAAUUCGGGAAGCUUUGCCUGUGGCAUACAUGAGUACUCUGUGUUAAUUUGUGGUGCAGACUGGAUGAAUACUGCAAUGCAAUUAACCAGGUAUCUGACUUUUUUGAGAGGGAUCCUGUGUUUUCUUUAUUUUCAAGACAAAGUUAAGUCACCUCUGAUAUGAAGUUACAAGAGGGCAGAUUUUCAGAUGGUUUUAGCACACAUUUGUGCAUGAAAAAUGUACAUACUUCUGCAUUCCUGGUUUGUGUUCACAGGCAUUGUGAUUUAGGAGCACAUAUAAGUAAAUAUGCUACAAAUUAUGUAUGCACUUAAACUGCAUGGCAUUUUAAAAUUUGUAUGCUAUUUGCAUGACAUUUAAAAUCUGAUCCCACUGGAGCAGGCCCUGCUACCCAAUGGGGAGAAAUGAGCAAGAGAGGUUGCAGAGCCAAAAUGGCUUUUGGUAUCCUUCUCCAUUAAGUAUGGGUCCAUUGCAAAGAGGGAAAAUAACUGUACACAUUCAUAUCUUCAGCUACAUACAUUCAUAUCUUCAGCUACAUACAUUAAUGAUUAGUAAACAAUUAUUCUGUGGUUUUAUAUCUGAAUUAUUACUUUGAAGAGCAGCAUUUUACAUGUUGCUCUCUGGACUACUUAAUGCCACAAAGAAAGUUUUGUUAUUUACUAUUAUUUUGUGAAGGCACAAAAGAAGCAACAAAACUAAUGUAUUGUCAUAAACAGCAUAACAGUAAUUCUUACAGCAGUGCAUCUCGCUGCUUUCUGGAUUACUUUGCAAAUAAUAAAUCAAAUUCCUCCUCAAGGUGACAUGUCAGUAAUUUCAAAUUUGAUUAGCUGUAUAUGAAGGAUGUUGAUACAUUCCUACAUGAGCUAAUCUUUGAUAGCUCAGCAGACUGACAACCUUAGCACUUCCAGUGCUCCUCCACGACGGUGUGGCACAAUGAAAUAACCUUAAGCUACUUAAACCUAUAAAACCACAGGGAGCCUGGUUGGGGUGCGGCUCAGCCAGCUUGGCUUUGGCCUGUUCCUCCUAAGAGGAUCUGGGGCGUGGAGUUGAAGAAUCUCAGUGGUUUGGUUUCUGAUGUAGUGAACAAAAAUGGAUGGGACCAAAAGGGUCUGGUUCCUUGCCCCACCCUUCCACACUUCCAGGUGAUGGGGGUGAGCCCUGAGUGUGGGUCCGCACACGAUUGAGCACAGACGACCUUCCCCUACCGACUUAGAGGCUGACUCGGCUGCUGCAUCACGAAAAUCCAGUGCCACAAGGGACACAGUGCUGGUGGAAAGGGGUCCAGGCACAAAACAUUAGGUUUAAGUACCGUCACCCUAGGUGGAUCAUUUUGCUCCUGAUGGAGCUUCAUGGAAGUGCCAGAUUUUCAACGGCCCGUAGUCAAAACUUGUUACAAGUCCGCAGCUCAAGCAUUAGUUUUUGCAAAAGUGACAGAGAAGAACGGGUUUAUAUUGCCACUUGUGUAAUGAUUUGUCUUUAUUUUCUUUGAAGGGACUAUAGGGGAGCUCUUUGGAUUGCAAAGCUGGCAAUUUUAUUAAAUGAAACAAUUUUCCAGUAUUUAUUUUUAAAGAGGGAAGAGCCUAAUUCUUUUAGGCUUGUUUUUUAUUCCCACUUCAGAUUUUUCACACUUCAUUCACACACUUUAUCCACAUUAAGUAAAAACACAUCUUACUUCAGCAUUUGUAUCGUGAGCCCUUUAAAGAAAACGUACUGUGCUGCCUGUUACCAGAGAAGCCUGUCAAGCAGCCUGCUGUAAUUAAUGACAUUACUUCGAAUUUAAGGAAAGAUAUUUUAAGAGGAAAGAAAAUGCAAAACCCAAGAACACCAGUAACACCCAAUGACUGUUGCUUAACAAACUAAUUUGUGCCUUGGGUAGAUUUGGCUUUCUGCAGUAUGUUAGCUGCUCGGUUUUUAGCUUUAGCAGGUUAAAUAAAUGGAACAUAGCUGUUUAUGAGAGAAAUGCCUACGCUAGUGCCCAAUUUGCAUUCAAGACUGCAUACAAAGGGAGUAGAAGAGUUCUCGUCCUGAAAAGAUGAUGAUCGUUUGCAAAGUUUUUACCAAAUACUUGAUGGCCUGUUGCAUACCAGGGCACUGUCAGAUGGGGUAUAUAUGUGUGCCUGUGGAAGGAAAAAAGAUGUCAUUUUCCUUUCUUCAUGUCUCCAGGCCCCAGUACCUUCAUGUGCAUUGAAAUGUAACAGCUACAGGUAGAUGCAUAGGAUAAAAGACUCACCUGGAAUAAAAGAUGGUGCUUUGACAUUAUGACAGCUUGGAACAGCAAAUAAUUAGGAGUUUGGGGUUAGCAGAUUUUGUACUGCACAGAGCAAACGUGGUGUCCCAAGGUAGUGAGCAAGAACUGCUCCUAAGAGUACGUGCAGCAACAUCAGCCGUUGCCACACCUGGGAGGUACGUUGUGAUAUGGCAGCAGUAAACAAAGAAAUGAACAGUAGUUGGUAAUAUAUAAAAGAUACUGGCCAUAAAGCAUAGAUAAAAGUGUGCAAAGUGUGUUGUGUUGUCUGAAUUAUAAUAUGAUACACAAACAUUGCAGUUGUCAUAAAUAUGCUACUGAACAUGAAUGCUUAUAGAGGUGAUGGCGUUCUUGGGCAGGUUAAACUAUGCCUUAAACUAUGCCUAGCUUAUUACAGAUUUUGAGUGAGUGUUAUGUGCCUGCUUUUGAAACUGAGCCUGUUAGGGCUUGGCAGGGCUUAGCAGAUUUUCUGUAUUUGAGAAUGAUCAAUUACAUUGUUGUUUGGGGGUAAUUGAUUCUGUGCCUGUGGCUAUGUCACCCUUCCUUCGAGUCUCAUUUGAAGAGUGCCAUGAUGUUAGCACAGAAAGGUACAUGCUAACAGCUGGAGCAAGAAAAACAAACUGUGUAUGGUUGGCACCCCAAAAUACAUGUCACAGCAUCACACAUCAUAGCAAGUACAAGUUUAGAUGCAUGGAUUCUUUCCGAUAGGUUUAUCAUUAAAACUGUCAGUGCUGUGUUCAUGGUGCCCUGUAUGAGUCUUCAUACUGUUUUUUUUCAUUCAUUCCUUUUUUUUUUUUAACUGUUCUGUUAUCCAAACCCCAGAUAGGUAACUGUUAGCUGAAGUUAUGGCAGCGAAUUUUGGGAUGAGUCUAGAGGUGCGUGCGAUGUGACUGCAGCGUAAUACUGCUUUCAGUGACUGGCCAUUCUCAGCUCCAACGAUGUAUGAAAUGCUCGAAGUUUUAAUGGGUUAACAUUAUCCAGAGUCCUCCACAGUGACAGACUAUUGCCCAAUCAGUUCAUGCUAGAGUGAGCAAUGACAAUGUACAAACAUUUUGUAUUUUAUACUUUAGUGCUCCUACAUAUGUUGUGUCCUGCGAGUGCAAUUUGUCCCCUGCAGCGAGCACAGCUCUUCGGUGCUUUCCGUGCGCCACUGGAUUGGCAGAGUCACAGCUCAUGCAUCCUCAGAUGAAGCCAACCUGUGAUGUCCAUCUGGAUUGCUGUACACAGCCUGUCCCCAGGUGUUGGUCAGCUCCUCUGAGCCCCUACCUUACGGGCCAGUGCCUUGGGAACUUCUGGUGGGCUGCCUCAGGAAAAACUCACCACAGAUGAGUUAUUUGGGCUUGAUUUUUAUUUGAGCUUUAUUUUGAGCAUAAAUUAUUAUUUCUGUGUUAUCCUCGUUCUUUACAGCAAUCACAACAGUGCUGUGCAACCCUAGUGGUCAUGCCCCCAUACAGACAUGGUGUGCUCUCAGGUGGAAACAACAGUUAUCUUCAGCUGGGUUAAGAUAAAAAUACUAGUAGUUCAGUAAAUGUGAGUGGCCAUUAGAGGUGACACAUAUCUGGGAAGAUACUCACCUGGAAACUUUGGGCCUAAGAAACCAGGUGAGCCAGGCCUUUCCUGGAAGGAUCAGGAACGUCCUGACUGUGCAUGGUUCAGUGGCACAGGAUCUGCUUCUGUGGUGAGACUCCAGCAAGUGCUUCAAAACCCUCCCUGGCACUUGGGAAAUCAUGCAAGUUUUACUCCCCUAGUGAGAUUAGUUCCCUGCUGUUGUUCUUUAAAAUAGACAUUGUUUUUUACUUUAAAUAUCUGUUUUUAAACCCAACACUUAAAUCCAUUCAUUAUCCAUGGAAUGGCAAUUAAAGUGCCGUAUUUCUUGAGUUUCCCAAGCUGUAUUACAUUCUCCUUUGUUUCCUCAUUGUGCUUCAUUAUAAAUGAAAUUAUUUCAAGUUCUGCUGAAAAACUCCAGUCUGUUUUGACCCAAGCAAUGAGUCAGUGGAGGAGCCUGGUGGAGGAAGGCACAAGAGAUCCCCAAGGGCAGCACAGUGUAGAUGGAAGUUGUAUCAGAGCAGCGCCAAUAAGCACGUUCCACCAGGGGCCAAGUCUCCAGUCACCAGAAGCAGUUCCCAAUCUCUGCAUGGUGUGAUCACAAACUGUUUCCCUUGCUGCUUGCUUGGCAACCUUCUCGCCAUGCAUCUCCUCCUUCCCACUGGCAGCGGUAGUCACCAUGGUCCUGUCCCUGAGCCACUCGGGUACUGACUAAGCCGAUUGUCUAACUUUUCCCUUCAAUCUCCACUUCAAAUAUUCUCUUAAUGUGCUUCUUCUGUGUGCAGUUCACUUUCUUUAGCCUCAUCAAGAAGAGAAAUUUUGUCGUGUGAGGCUCUGUUGAUGCAGGCCAGGUGUGGAGCUGGAAAUCAUAGAUCCAGGCGCCUGUACUAGUGAAGCCAGGCAAAGCAGCUGAUAUCACUAGAGUUGUUCAUUGUCGCCUUCUCCAUGAACCCAAGCUAAGGCAGAAGGAAGCACCGACCCAGCUGGUCUGUUCUGGUGGUGCUGGGAGGGGAUGGGUCCUCCAGCGAGAUGGAAAAACCUGCACCACUGCGGCCUGCUGCAUCUGCUCCCCUCCUUGUUACCCUCCUGCCACCGGUGCUGCCCCUGCAACACCGCCCUGGUCCCUGUCCCCACUCCCCAGCCUCUCUGCAGCCAGUUCCCUGCCCUGGGCUGCCCUCCUUCCAGCUGCAGGUCCACCUCCCUCCAGCAGCCUUCUUGCACAGCCAGCUCCGCUCUCAGUCUGCCCCCAGGACUAGUUCUCCCCUCUCUUUUGUGCUAUUAAGUGGCUUUUUCUUUUCCCUCCUUUCCUUGUUUCGCCUGCAUUUGGAGCGCAGGAUGGAGUGAAGCCACGCUCGGUUCCUGUGCCUGAUGCCACAGUGCCCACAGGGCCCGCCUCUCGCAAGCAGCAUCUUCAGAGCAGUCGUGGGCCCGUUUUGGGUGCCAGCUUCUGGGGACUCUUCACUGAGCAUAUGCAAAUGAGACUUUUCAAAGGACUGUGACGAGGCAGAAAGCUGGGUGGUUUUUCAUGGGAACUGCAAAAGGACAACAGGGACCAUACCUUCCAAAUUGCAGACUAUUGCUGUGAAGAAUAGAGACGCAGGAGCUGCUCAGUGAAUUUCUUGUAAGGCUUUCUUUUCUUGUCUCUUUUUUUUUUUUUUUUCCUUUUUCUUUUUUCCCCAACAGGGGCAAAACAUGUUUUUCCUCAAUCUUAUUUCCUGAAGUGACUAAAUCCUUUUAGUUGAAACAUAAAAAAAAAUAAUAAUAAUCAGCCUGAGGCAGAAACAGAGCAUGGGAAUUUUCAUCCCAAAUACUUAGCUUGGCAAAAUUUAUAAGCAACUGAAGACAAGCUCUUAUAAUGGAAACUAUGGAGAUCCCUAACUACAAAGAAUCUACUUGCUUAACACACAAAAGUCAGAUAGGAAUAUCUCCAUGACCCAUUUGGGAUACUAAACCCAAUUAAAAAGUAUCUGCUUUUCAUAUUUCAGAAAGCCACAUUAAGCAAUGGGUGUCCUAAGGAAGCAUUUGGUUUUAGCACUUCCCAGCCCGUACCAAAGCAGUUGCAUCUAUUUGAUUUGCUAAGCUUGUCUGCCACAGAUUUAUUUGAUUUUUUUUUUUUUUUCUGAACCGUUUCUGUUGUGAAACUUAAUUUAUGUACCGGCGUGCACAUCAGAUGUCCAGCUCAGCCAGUGCUGUGCAAGGGCAGCGGCAUGGUCCCCUCAAGGUGCUUCCCUAUUAAAGAAAACACAGAAAAUAUGGAAAUUACCAUAGUUGAGGUGGUUGUUACUCGGAUCAGUGACAGAAACCCUGGGCCACGGGGCAGGUGCCAUCAUGGUCCUGCCCCAGCGGGGGCAUUUUGGCACAUUGGGAUGCAGUGCAAUGGUGUGUGGGGGCUCCCUGCAUGGAGGGGAGUCACUCUUCUCCCCCAGACCCAAGCAGGACCCCUAUGCACAGAGCGAAGCCUGGGGCAGUGUUUUCUGAGCAGGGACUGGUUUUCCUGGCUUCACAAAGGAGCGAUCCGUAUGGGAGCAAGCCCUGCACAUCCCCUUCCUUUCCCAGCUCGGAGGCAACCCUGUAGGCCUUCGGUGGAAAAUCCACCCGAGGCAUCUGGAGAUGUGGAGGAUUUGCACUGCAAGGCUCGGUGAGGUUCCUGCGGGGAGGAGCAGUCACGUAGUGCAGCUACAGAGGCACGAAAUGUGAAGCAUUCAUGUCGUUUUGGUACUGGCUCUGAAAAGCGUGUCAAAACAGAUGGGUAUGUUGUUGACGGAAAGCGCGUUGCUUUUUAGUCAGUCAUAGAUUCCCUCUUUUUGCAAAAGACUGAAAAAAAUAUUUUCUUAAUUUAAUAUAGCAAUAUAUCGUGGUUAUUGCAUUUCAUUUAUCCCUAGACUAAUGGGGAACGCGCUAUAUGUAUUCCAGCCACAGCGCAAGUUUUCCUUAAGUGCUUAUAUAUGAGCUCCCCUCCAACUUCCCUCUACAGGAGAUUUAGUUUUCAUAUUAACUCCUUGCAGGAUCUUUUAUGAGCAGUGACUGUCAAACUGUGCUUGUCUGUGCAUUUGUGCAUGCUGAUAUUGUUCUCAUUUAGACAAACUUCAGCUCCCACCUCAAUCUUGUUUUUCCCCAUGUCGUUUUUUCUCUAAUAUAUCAACAGUUGUUUUAGGCUUGUUUUGAAAAAACAGCCUACAGUGUUUUAGACAAACCAAGCCAAAUUGGAGCAAUAAGUAUUAAAAGAUAUGCACAGGGCACAAACAAAAGAAUUCCCCAAAUGUAUUUUAGUGAUUUUCUUCCUGCUUCUUUAAUAUAAUAUUUGCGGGCCAACUGUGGCAAUAACUGAUAAUUUUAAUGCAAGAUGACAUAAUUCCAGUUCAGCAAUUCUUCAGAGAGAAAUUACCCUGACAACUUCUUUCCAUUCUGUCUUAAUUUUAUAUAAAAAGAAAAAAAAAAAAAAGAAAAAAAAAAGAUUCUCAAUGUAAGGAAAAGAAAACAAUUUGAAACAAGUUUUGAAACUCAUUUAAAUAUUUCAUCUCUCUUCCACUUCCAAAUAUACUUUCCUGGCAGGUUCUUGCUUUUUCAUUUCCAGUUCUUGAGGUUUACCAUCUUUCUCACUGAGAGACUAAACUCAAAUUUUCUUCAGCACCCACUGAACCCUUGGCAGAAGAUCCCUACCAUGACAUGAAGGAUCUUGCUUGCUUUUUCUGUGAGCCUGACUUCUGUCAGAAGACUCCACAUCAGAAGGUCGAUUGUUAGGUCAGGUUAGUAUUUCAAAAUCAGAAUUUGCAUUUGGUAACGCACCAGGGUCAUUAAGCUUUGCUAUUUUCUCUCUCUCUCUUUUUUUUUUCCCCCUCUGUCUGUCUGGUAGGGAAAACAAACAUUGUUCCUUCAGAAUGGAGGUGACUAUGUCAGCUAGAAGAUAGCUUUGGAGCUUGGUGGCAUUUAUAUAUAUAUAUAUAUAUUUGAAUGGCAGUAGCAAAUCAGUCCUCAUUUUGGAAUAAAUAUGGUCUCCCAAAGGGAGCUUAUUUAAGUGUUGAAGUGGCUACAAACUUUUAAGCUCUUCGAUUGGAUGAUGAAUACCAUGUUAGCAGAAAGAUGUGUUUUGGGGGCUGCUUUCAGGCCAGUUGUGCUUCUCCCAGGGUUGCAAGGCAGGACAUGACCUGCAGUUCCUCCAGGAGAAAUCCACAUCUGUCCUUCCCCAUGCUGGUCCCUGGGUCCUGAUGAGCUUACUCCAGCCACAGAAAAGCCAGAAAAAGCAGAAAAAGACAGAGCAAGAGUCUUCCAUUUUUAAAGGGUUUAUUUUUUUGUCUUUUUUUUCCUCCUUCCACCACAAACUUGACCUUUCCACGUUCAUCCCAGACUCUGUUGCUGGUGGCAGACCAACCUUCCAUGCAUGUGCCCACCUCUCAGGAAAGGGGAUUUCAGGCAGGGCAUUGGUGGAGGUCACCCCCCCUCUGUCACAGUAUGUGUUCUCAUCUCAUCUCAGGUACAGCCACCAACGUCUCCCCUCCCUCCCUGAUGUCCUAUGCUUUGCUGUGCCCUUGGUGCAGCUCCAUGGUCAUUAAUCUUGAAUGCUCCCUCUGAUGACAUCUCCGAGGUUAAGUCAUGGGAAGUGCAGUGUUACUCAGCUUAGUUAAAUCUAGUGUAAUUCGCAUCUGCAAAGCCUCUGCAAAUUAGUGCUUAGUCUUAAAUUGCUGGUUUCCACGCUACGGACACGUCAAGUAUCAAACACCAGCUCCUGAUGUGUUAUGAAUUAAGGCGUGGAUGCCUGAAGUCCAUGAGACACACGCCAGAAAAACUCAAGUUUCUGAGUGUUUCUGAGGCAAAUAUGCAAUUAAUUUAGUUUGUGACACUAAAGAGCUGAGAUGGCACCCGAACAGAGCAUUCCUUCCCCUUCGUUUGCAGAUGCUGCAGGUGACCAUAGUGGUUUUGAGCCACAGUGCUCACCCACUUCACAUCAACUUCACGUCAACGGGGCUGUGAUGGGUGCAGACCUGUAUUGAUUACUGGGACUUGCAGGAGAGAAAAAAUCUUUGCGCUUCAGAUUGGUUAUAAAUUAUAAAUAGCAUCUCCAAAGGCUGUGAGUUACAGAAAUAGCAUUCCUCGGAGACAGCCGUAUGUAAAGCUGCCGUGGGAGAGGUUAUUAACUUUAUGAUUGCAGCACAGCUGUACUUGACCCACAACAAUGAUCAUUGCCCAUGAAAUCUCGCGGUCUGGGUUCAGUCCCCUGCCUUUCUCAAGAAUGUUCAUUCGCAAUGACCAGCAAAGGUCAUGCUUACAUAAGAAGGUUAAUGCUGACUGUAUCAGUGUGAAUUCACUGGUGAAACAGCGCUGUCUUCUUCCCACCAUAGCAAUUUUUUCACAGUUUUUCUCCCAUAGAGCUUUUUUUAUUUUUUUUGUAAUUACUUGGUAAAAUUCAUAUUUUAACAGAAUGAACAGAGAACCUGUCCAUGACUCCAAAACUUGAAUUUUAAACUCUUUUUUGUUAUGCUUUUUUUUGUGUUCUGGUAGCCCAGCUCUAUUUUCCAGGCAUUUUACAAACACAGAUGUGUUUCCUUUCCAUGAAGUCACUAAAAACUGUACUAAAUUUCCCAUGAAACCAUCAUUCUCACAUAGAAGACUGACUGCUCAUUUGUUGUACCAUUCAGGGUAGGGCUGUUGCAUUGUCAUGGACGUGCCCUCAUUUUUCUGUCUCACCACUAUCCCUGAGUGGUAGGUGCAGCCUGUGCCCAUGUUUUUUAAAAACCUGGCAAAACCAUGUCUCAGUCUCUGUUUUCCAGUGAGGUGUUUUCGAGGAGAAGGUCUGAUGAGAACAGUUCGAAGGAAAAAAAAAAAAAAAAAAAAGGAAUUA